rnacentral:rRNA from 1 species
UACGAAGGGAGCUAGCGUUGUUCGGGAUCACUGGGCGUAAAGCGCACGUAGGCGGAUUGCUAAGUCAGGGGUGAAAUCCCGGGGCUCAACCUCGGAACUGCCUUUGAUACUGGCGGUCUAGAGUCCGGAAGAGGUGGGUGGAAUUCCUAGUGUAGAGGUGAAAUUCGUAGAUAUUAGGAAGAACACCAGUGGCGAAGGCGGCUCACUGGUCCGGUACUGACGCUGAGGUGCGAAAGCGUGGGGAGCAAACAGG